CCUACGGGAGGCAGCAGUGAGGAAUAUUGGUCAAUUGACGAGAGUCUGAACCAGCCAAGUAGCGUGAAGGAUGACUGCCCUAUGGGUUGUAAACUUCUUUUAUAUGGGAAUAAAACGUUCCACGUGUGGGAUUUUGUAUGUACCAUAUGAAUAAGGAUCGGCUAACUCCGUGCCAGCAGCCGCGGUAAUACGGAGGAUCCGAGCGUUAUCCGGAUUUAUUGGGUUUAAAGGGAGCGUAGGUGGAUUGUUAAGUCAGUUGUGAAAGUUUGCGGCUCAACCGUAAAAUUGCAGUUGAAACUGGCAGUCUUGAGUACAGUAGAGGUGGGCGGAAUUCGUGGUGUAGCGGUGAAAUGCUUAGAUAUCACGAAGAACUCCGAUUGCGAAGGCAGUUCACUGGACUGCAACUGACACUGAGGCUCGAAAGUGUGGGUAUCAAACAGGAUUAGAUACCCGAGUAGUC
rnacentral:rRNA from 1 species